rnacentral:tRNA from 2 species
GCUCCCUUCGUCUAGCGGCCCAGGACGUCGCCCUCUCAAGGCGAAAACACGAGUUCGAACCUCGUAGGGAGCGCCA